rnacentral:rRNA from 5 species
AAACGACUCUCGGCAACGGAUAUCUCGGCUCUCGCAUCGAUGAAGAACGUAGCGAAAUGCGAUACUUGAUGUGAAUUGCAGAAUCCCGUGAACCAUCGAGUCUUUGAACGCAAGUUGCGCCCCAAGCCUUCUGGCCGAGGGCACGUCUGCCUGGGUGUCAC